CGCUUCCUGCGGUGUUCGGCAGCAGAUCGGGAUCCCUUCGAGCCUAAUCUGUAACAUCGGGACAUUACGGCCGCGUGGGUCGUUGAGCAAACCCGCUUUUGGCGGGUAGCCUGAGACUAACCGCCGCGUCCCACCUAUCGCUCUGGUUCGAGAGCGAUGAUCUGCACCGGCACAGGCGGGAAGCGC
rnacentral:other from 1 species